GGAGGCUGGGCACUCUCUGAAUUCGAGGCCAGCCUGGUCUAUAGCGGGAGUCCAGAAUAGCCUAAAGAUUUUUUUGUUUUCGAAAAAAAAAAAACACUUUAAAAAUUGAAAUAAUUUUAUUGUCAGCAUUGUUAUUAUUAUUGUUCCGUCUCUGCACCACAUUGGAGCCUGGAAUUGAACCCAGAUCCCUGCAUCCUGGAGAGAAAGUAGCUGAACCACCCAUCUCUCCAACCCACCCUUUGAUUUAUUUCGCCACUUCUGAUUUCCUUUCAUAACAGGGACCCUCCGUGUAGCCUGUCCCCUCAAUCCCGUCCACACAGACACAGACAUAGAGACUACUCUUAGUCCUCCAAUCAGAAUAGAGCGACUCAGGACGGGAACGGCCUCUCUAUCUCGGCGUCUGGAACCGGCGCGGGUUGAUGACACACUUCUGGCCUGGUUUGUUUUCUUUUUCUGGCGCGUCGGGCGGGGGCAUGCGCCGUUGCGGCCGCGUUUUCUGGUAGACGGUGGCCCCGCGCCUCGCUUUCCGGGAAUCUCAUCGGGGUCUCGGGGCUCCGGAGGCUGCGAUGGCGGCAGCCUGCGCGGUGGUGCUGGCGUUGAAAGCAGAAGCGGAGGAGGAAAAGAAGGACCCCGGGGCUGGCGGGACCCCGAAACCUCCCAGAAACGCUUCCAGAGACUGCGCUCCGGGCACGUGUCCGGCACGGAGGACGCGCUGAGCCGCCAGCGGGAGCUGUGCCGCCGCUGGCUGCGGCCCGAGCGGCGCUCCUAGGAGCAGAUGCUGGAGCUGCUGGUCCUCGAGCCUUCUCCCGCGCAGGCUGGGGGUCCCCGUGCGCCACCGGCACCCCGAGAGCGGGGAGGAGGCGGCGGGCCUGGGCGCGCGCCCUGCACCCGGCUUCUCCGCAGCAGGGACAGUGAGCACUAACUGAGGUCUUGUGCCGGACACCUCGACUUUCAAGGCCGAGGCUGGAUCUCCAACCCGGGGAGAAUGGCAGCAGCUGGCCCUGUCCCCUCAGAACGGCUCGUGCCGAGAGAGCGAGGAGAACAACAGGAGCACGGCCGUGCCAGGCCUGGAGACCCGAGCUGCCUGAAACCCUGACUUUAUCCCAAAAUAGGAGGAGGACUGCAAGGAGGAGGCAGAGCCUACACAGGCCUGGGUACAAGGCGGGACCCUGAAAGGGAAGAGAAAUCACCUAAAGAUGCUGUCCUGCCACCACCACAGCCUCCGGGUUCUCCAGGAGAGCAUGGCCACCUCACACGUCCCUUGGGCACCCAACAAGGAAGGACUUUGGAGAAGUGGAGAGCUGGAGCACACGGCCACCUUGCACACCCUCUGCGGGGCCAAGGAGGAAGAGCUUUGGAGAAGUGGAGAGCGGGGGCACACGGCCACCUCCCACACCCUCUGCUGGGCCAACGUGGAAGGGCUUUGGAGAAGUGGAGAGCUAGGGUGCACAACCACCUUGCUGGUCCCCUGCAGGGCCCAGGAGGAGGGGUUGGAGAAGUGACGACUUUGGGGAAGUUGCCACUGCCCCUGCCCUUGCUGAGGACAGCAGAACCUGGUGAUGACUUUGGGGAGGUUGCCACUGCCCCGCCCUCGCUCAGGAUCAACUGCGCCGCUUUUGUGAAGUGGUCUCCACUGGAGAACAAGUUUGCUGUGGGGAGUGGAGCCCGGUUCCUCUUCAUCUGUUACUUUGAGUCUGAAAACAACUGGUGAGCCAUGCUAAUCUACUUUCUCUUCCUUCCUUCAUCCCUUCCUCUCCAUCCUUCCCUUUCCAGUCCCUGAUUCUUAAUUCAUGUAGGAAGCAUUUCCUCCUGACUGCUUUGGAGCAGUUGACUGUGUGUUCGCUGAAAGGUCAUAGGUGGACUGGACCUUACUGUGGUCGCAGAUGUAGUCCCUGAACGUGAGCUGUAUGUCAGCUCCUCAGGCCGGUAUAGUGCACAAGCCUGUAAUUCUAGUUUGACUUUGAGAGCAGUGUGGGGUUCACAGCAAGUCGGAGGCCAGCCUGAACUCUGUGUAGGAAGCUCUUCCCUGACAGAGAGCAAGCCAGCCUUCAGCAGGAGCAGCUGUGCACUGUAGGGAGCCCAUGAAAAUACUCAAGCCUAAGUCAAAGGACAGCCUUAUAACAUUAAAAGCGAUGGUGCGUACAUGAGUUACCUCUGUAGAUGUAGCUAACGUUACCUGUGGAUUUCAGAAUUGAAAUGGUUUUUAUAAACAUAUAGAUCAGUUUUAUUUGGAGGGGGUUUAUGGGACAGCUUGGAAAAUGCUGCUGUUUUGUCUGUGAGGACAGUGUAAACUAGGUUUUCUCCUUUCUCAGGUGGGUGAGCAAGCACAUUAAGAAGACGGUUUGCCCUUUGGCAGAGUACAGGGAAUCAUAAGAAAGAAGGGGAGUUAGUCUGAUGGGGAAAGGAUAGGAGCUCCACAAGGACCAAAUAUAUCUGGGCACAGGGUCUUUUCUGAGACUGACAUUCAACCAAGGACCAUGUAUGGAUAUAACCUAGAACCUCCACUCAGAUGUAGCCUGUGGUAGCUCAGUAACCAAUUGGUUUCCCAAAGUGAGGGGAACAGGGACUAUUUCUAACAGGAACUCAAUGACUGGCUCUUUGGUCUCCCCACCCCCGAAGGGAGGAGCAGUCCUGUUAGGCCACAGAGGAGGGCUUUGCAGCCAGUCCUGAAGAUACCUGAUAAAACAGGAUCAGAUGAAUGGGGAGGAGGUCCCCCCUAUCAGUGGACUUGGAAAGGGGCACGGUGGAGAUGAGGGAGGGAGGGAGGGACUGGGAGGGAAUGAGGGAUCGGGACACGGCUGGGAUACAUACAGAGUUAAUAAAAUGUAACUGAUAAAAAAUAAAUAAAUAAAUAAAUUUUAAAAAAAAGAAGACGGUUUGCUCCACAGUCCUCUGCUUGGGCUAGCACCCCAACAACGUUUUGCUUGCUGCAGGGUCAUGUGACUUCAAAUGCAGGUGAGGAUAAACGGGCACUGCCUGUUGCUCAGCACUGACAGGUACCCAUUGGGCUCCUUUGUUUGCGAAGUACAGUACCCUGUGAGCAGCUCAGCGAUAAAGGGAACUUCCUGGUCUAGAAAAAGAGCUGUGGCUGGGAUGUGGCCUCUCAGGUAGACAACUUACCGAGUUGGUUACCGUCCCCGAGCACUGCAGAAGCCCGGCAAGUGCUGCACACCUGUAAACCCAGCACUGUAUGUGGAGCUAAGGUUAGAGGCUCAGUUACAGGCUGAGAUUGAGGGCAGCCAGGCUAUAUGAGACCCUGUCUCAAGAAAGAGAAAAAGAACAAGUGAACUAAUGCACAGUGAUGAACAAGAGCAAGUAGCAGAGGAUAUGAUGGACUCAUCCAUAGGGUUAGCAGGAGCUGCAGCAGGUUGUUAUGCACAGUAGCCUGGCUGGUACAGUGAGGGGUCUUAGGGAGACUCGAGUCUUGAGUGCAGGGUGAGCUCAUGCUGUGUCCACCCGUCCAUCUCUCUUUCAGACUGUGCUGCUCAGUUUUUAAGUCAGUUGAUUUUAUUUUUCUCUGUGCGUGUGGGUAUCCAUGCCUGGCAAAGGCCAGAAGGGGUAAGAGAUGCCCAAGAGAUACACUGUGGUUGUGAGCCACCUGGUAAAGGUGGUGGGAGCCCAACCCAGUCUUCUGGAAGAGCAGCAAGUGUGUUAACCACUGAGCCAUUUCUUCGGUUCAGUUCUCUAGGUUUUGAUGUGACAAGUUGGAAGCAUGAAGUUCAGGUUGGUCUGGAGCGCACCAUCCUCCCUCAGCUUCUUGUCGUGGAAUUACAAGUCUGCACCUUCAUGCCCACCAGCCUCUUUCUUGGACUGUUUCAGGUCCUCAUUUUGUGUCCCAGGCAACAGACUGCAGAGAAGAGUGAACUUGACUUUAGCCACGUGUCCCUGAGGGUGUAUGGACAGAACCUUCCCACUGUCUUUUACCUGAGGCUAGAGGAGACUCCCCACCCUGCUAGAGCUUUAAGAAUCAUGCCACGGGUUCCUUUUUUAAAACCUGUCCUUCAACAGGACCCUUUCCCCUUUAGCAAAAGGAAAAGCAAAGAAUUCAUCGCUGUUUUGUGUUGACUCUUUGGGGCAGAGUCAACCUACCUUCAGUACCUAUGUCAGGGUUUCCUAGCCUGAGGAGUGUGACCCGUGGGUAAAACGACCCUUUCACGAGGGCCACCCAAGACCACCAGAACACAUUUACGUUACACUUUACAUUAGCAGCAGACUUGCAGUUACAAAGCAACAAUGGCAAUAAUUUUCUGGGGCAGGGCACCACAGCUUGAGGAAUGUUGGGACCUACCAGCCCAUGUGAAAAUUUUUCAGACAACCAGCCCUGUCAUUUAUAUUCAGGCCUAAUAAGAAAAAAACAAAAAAACGCAACUGGGCAGUGUUGCUCAGUGGUGGAGCAUCUGCCGAGUCUGUAGCAAAGUGCCAGGUUCAGUGCUCAACUCUGUGAACAAAAAACUAAAAAAAAUCUGGGUGGUGAGGGUGGAGCUAAGAUAGUCUUAGGCUCUGUGCUCAGCAGUUUGUGGUCCGUUAGUUAUCCAGGAUCCCCUGUCUCUCCCAGCAAACAAGACAGGGCGGGACUGUCUGGACAUCCAUAGUUUCCUGUGACUCCCAGGCAGGAGAAGCCAACGCCCCUAACCCUGCAGACCCUUAGCUGCUUCUGUCAUUUGGAAGUUGGGCUUAGGGAGCUAGAGGUUUGCUUUGGUUUGGUUUUCAAAACAGGGUUUAUCUGAGUCACUCUGUAGUGCACGAUGGCCUCGAACUCACAGAGAUCCCCCUGCCUCCACCUCCCCGAGUGCUGGGAUUAAAGGCGUGCAGCCCAUUGUUGUUUAAAGAGUCUUGAGGUUCAGGCUCCCCUUCCUCUUCCUUUUUCCUUCUCUUCCUCCUCAACUCCUGCUUUUCAUUUUCCUCCCCUUUUUCCUCCUCCUACUUCUCCUCAAAUCUUCUUCCUUGCCUCCUUCUCACCGUCUUCUCCUCAACUCUUCCUCCUCCUCUUCUUUCUCCUCCUUGACUCCUCAACUCCCCGUCUUCCUGCCUUGGCUUCCAGGAGCCACACCCACGUUCAGAUGCUUCCCAGAGAGUCAGAAGAGGCCAGAGGAGGCAGAUUCCGGCCCUUCCCCGUCCCUCCACCUCCUAAGGCCUCAGAGGUGACAGUGGAGCCGAGGUGGGGGGCAGGCCUCCCUCUUUGAGCCCUUUGUUGGGUAUCUUCACCUUUAGCUUUAUUUAUCUGUGUGUGUGCGUGCACCUAGGACCUGUAUCCCCCCGGCUACAUGCCUGGGUUCCAGGCGCAGGCUGCCAUCUCUGGGUCCCUGUGCAGGUCCAGCAAGCGCGUCCCUGGCUGUCCUUUCCUGCAUCCCCCCAUCCUAACCCGCCUCCUGCCUCCUCUCCCACUUUCCACAACAGAGUGUUCUCAGCCUACAUCAAGGAGGUGGACGAGAACUGGCCAUCAUCCUGUGGGGCAGCAAGAUGCCCUUCGGCCAGCUGAUGGCAGAGUUUGGCGGCAGCAGCUGGGUACAUGGUGGCAGUUUCUCGGCCAGCACGACUCGGCUGGCCUGGGUCAGCCACGACAGCAGCCUCCAAGAGAGUGCAGUGAGUCCUCGCCUGGCUGGUGCGGACAGAGGGGAAUACAGUUAGCAAUCUGUACAUGCUGGCUCUCCAUGGCAGAUAGAGAAAGUGUAUACAGCUAGGGGGAGUAUAUACAGCUGGCAAUCUGGACACGCUGGCUCUCCUUGGCAGCUAGGGUAAGUGUAUAUAGCUGGCCACACACACUCUGGACACUGUAGCCUAGAGCACUGCAGCUAAGAGGAGUGUACACAGCUGGCCAAGAGGCCCAGGAUAGAGCAGCUGGGUACCACUGGGGGUCAGUAAUCCACCCCCACCUGACAGGCAGCACCUUAGCCAGCAGGCCCAGUCUCUGCCACUCUGAUGCAAAGAUGAUGGCUGGGAGGUGGCACCGCUGAUGCCUGUGUCCUCACUUCUGUUGUCCCCACCAGCCCCCAGAGAGAUGGGAUGGAGUGUGGUGGCCCAGGAGCCGGAAACAGGAGGCUCAAGAAUUCAAGGUCAGCCAGGUCUCUGUCCCAGAAAACCAGAGCUGAAGCUGCUGCCCCCGUCCAGCACGCGCGCACACACACACACACACAUACACACACACACACACACACACACACACCCUCACCCUCACCCUCACCCUCAGCUCUUUCCUCUGACACCACCCCAAACAGGAGAGGCGCCAUCUUCCUCCUGCCUUCGUGCCCCAGGUCUACACAAAUGGUGCUUUGUCACCAGACUGCGGUGAAAGGUAGCUCAGUGGCAAGGGAAGUAGCCUGGAACUCGCUCUCGGGUGCCUUGGCACUUGCCCUCCCAUGGGCAGCCUAAAAACGUGCCUGGGGAAUGGCCUCCUCCUGGCCACCCUGUGAGGACGCAGUGGCGUGUGGACAGCUUGGACGUGGUCCUCCCUGUGCUGAUUCUACUAGUUCUCUCCCUCCCCACCAACCCCUCCCUCCUGUAUCAUCUCUCCCUCCCCAUCAUCCCUCCCUCAUCUCCCUGCUCCUUCUCCAAUCCACUGCUAGGGGAAGUCCUUCUGUCCUUCCAUCUGACCCUAGUCUUAUGAGGUCUCAUCAGUACUGGCUGCAAUGUCCUCCCCUGUGGCCAAGCAAGACUGCUCCUCUGGGGAGCGGGGGUGAGGGGGAGAUCAAAAAGCAGGCCCCUGAGGUCAUGUCAGAGACCUUGGUGUCAAGUUUUUAACCCUCCACGUGAAUACACUCUUACAAGCCAGGCACGGUGGUGCAGGCCCAAGAUCCCAGCAUCCGGGGAGGUGAGGCAGGGUAUCGUGAGUUCGAGGCCAGCCUGGUCCACAGGGUAGGAACCUCACAUGAAGGUGGCACUGCCCGAGUUUGGUCCCCAGUGUGCGGUUAACAUAGGAGGAGAACCAUGUGUGAUGCACAUGCCCCCUGUGCAGGAUGUCAACUCUCAAAUAUCCGGCCCUUCCUGGGUGCCACCUGCCUGUGCCAUUCCCAGGGUGCGCUUCACACACACUCCCCUGCACACAGUCUCCUGCAGUGUGCCCCUUCUCAGGGUGCGACCUGCUUGUGCCAGUCCCAGGAUGUGCCCUGUGCACCCUCCCCCACACACAGUUCCCCAAACUGUGCUCCCACUCAGGGUGCCACCUGCCUGUGGCAGUCAAACAAGGCGCAUGUGCUGCCCAGAGCCCGCUCGGAGAAGGGAGAGAACAGAUCUCACAGUCACUAACCUGUGUACCAAAUACACAGCAUAAUGAACUAAUAACAACCUGAAAUGAUAAGUGUGUAAAGGCCCUUUUCAAGGGCUGCACUGUGGUGGCUUCAACCCUCGAGCCAGCCAGGCUGGCAUCUGAGGAGGAGGGGGCGGUCUCUGAAAGCUCUGCAGACAGGUGGGCUCACCCUGGUGUCCCUUCUCUGCCAAGCUAUGCAAGCACCUGGGGGUGAGGGUGCUGAAAGGAGUCUCCCUGUUUCCUUUGGAGUUGUGGAUUUGGGAUGGAACCGGGACUCUUGAAGCCCGAUUUCAAAAGCCAGGAAGUCUCUGGCUGCCCAAGCAGGCUGCUCUCAGAGGCCUUGUUGGGGACUGGUUGGCUUCAGCCAUGCUCCAGUCACGCCUGAGCUUGGAAGGAGAAAGCAGUUCUUUGUGUCAGCAUCUGCUGAGCCCUGUUCUGUCCCUACCAGCCCCAUGCUGAGGCUGUGGCCUUUCCUCCUCUCUCCCUCCCUGUCUUCCUCCUGCUGCCUUCUCUUCCCUCUCCUUCCCCCUCCCUCGCUCUCCUUCUCUCUCCUGUAUCCCUCUCCCCUCCUCCAUCCCCUCUCUCUCCCUCUUUUUCCCACUCUCCCUUCCUCUCUCUGACUCUCCUUCUUUCUCCCUUUCUCUCUUCUCCAUCUCUUUCCCUCUCUCCCCCUCUUUCUCCAUCCCUCUCCCUCUCUCCCCUCUCCCUUUUUUCUGACACCAGAUGGCUGUGAGCCACCGUGUGAGUGCUGGGACUCGAACACAGGACCUCUGGAAGAGCAGCCAGCACUCUCUACCUCUGAGCCAUCCCUGCAGCCCUCCUGACCUUGAACUUGUAACCUUCUGGCCUCUACCUUCAGAUGGCUAGGGCUCCACACUAGCACCAGUACCCAGUGUAUGUGCCUUUGGGGACCUGGCCAGGGCCUGAUGUAGUCUUGGGCCUACCCACAGGGCCACAUCCCAGUGAGUGAGCUCUCCCACUCUAGGACAGGGUCUCGUCGUGUGGCCCUGAGGGAUCUGGAGUCUAGUGCACCCCCAGCCAUCUCUCCGUGUGGGGCUUAGGGGAAGGGUCUCGCUUUUCUUUUAGACAGGUGUCUACUUACUAGGUGGACCAGAAGGACAGUUGCAAAUUAUGUACCACUGGCAUCGACGGGGCCAUGAUGAUCUGGGAUUUCAAGGUGGUCUCUCCAGUGGUAGUUGGCAGUGCUGGAGUGCAGCCCAGGCCAUGCAUGCACUAUCCACUGAGCCACUCUGCGGCAGUGCCUGGCAGAAGAGCUGGGCCCAGAGUCCCUAAGACAAGGGAAGCACAGCCCUUGGCAGGCAACCUGGAAGCCACCAUGAGUGUUGAUAUCCUGAUAGGAGCCACAGGUCAAUAGAGAGCAAUAUGUUCCUUUCGUCAGACAAGAAAAAUGGUUAUUUUGCUGGACAAGGACUAUUUUACUAAUUCUGGAUGAAUGCUGUUUUUGUUAUGGCCUGAGCCUUGGAAUGUUGACAUCACAGUGGUUUCUCCCCCUGACUACUACAGAAUCUUCACAUUUCAGUGGUUCGUCUACAAACUGCUGUAGCCAUUUUGGUUAGUGCCAGGAAAGAAAAGGAUAAUUUUUGGCCCAGUGAAAGGUUCUCCAUUCCAAGCUCCACUGUAAAGGAACCUGGAGGCCACCAUGGGUUACAGGUUAAUAGAGAACGAUUUGUCCCUUUUGUUGGAGCAAGGAAAAUGGCUAUUUUGCUGGACCAGAACUUUUGCACAAAUUCUUGAUGAAUGCUGUUUUGUUGACCUGGAGGCCAGCAUUGAUGGCUGAUAUCCUGAUAUCACAGGUCGAUGGAGUGCCAUAUGUCCCUUUUGCCAGAGACAAGGAAAAUGAUUUCUCUUGCUGGGUAGAGACCUGUCCCAGGAGAAUCCCACAUGGAAGCCUGUGAAGAGUUCAGCACUGAUGGAAUAUACCAAACCUUGCAAUGCCAAGGCCCCAUAAAAUGCAGAAGAGAUAGAACAAGAAAAAAACAUCUCUUUUUGUUCAGUGAUGUUUUGGAUGGGUCUAAUAUCCUGUGAGUAUGUCCCUCAAGCCUGCCAUACUAUUACAGGCUACACUUUGAUUAGACUUUACUAUACAAAAGUAAAAGUUUUUGAUUUA